CGGCCGACCGAGACCGAGGGAGACUGAGCGGAGCGCACGCCCUGGAAGGAGAGAGCCGGAGAGUUCGGGAGGCAAGACCCCCAGAGACGAGAGUCGGAGGGAUCAAACGACACAGAUGGAGUCUUGCUCUGUCACCCAGACUGGGUACAGUGGCACGAUCUCGGCUCACUACAAACUCCACCUCCUGGGUUCAAGAGAUUCUCCUACCUCAGCCUCCCGAGUAGCUGGGACUACAGGUGCGUGCCAGCAUGCCCAGCUAAUUUUUUGUAUUUGUAGUAGAGAUGGGGUUUCACUGUGUUAGCCAGGAUGGUCUCGACCUCCUGACCUCAUGAUCUGCCCGCCUCUGCCUCCCAAAGUGCUGGGAUUACAGGAGUGAGCCACCGCACCCAGCCGACCCUACUUCUAAUAGUAUGGAGAACGCUAAUAGUCCUUGGCACGAACUGUUUAGAGAAUUAGGCAAAAUAAAUGCAUUUGACACUCCUGAUUCUUCAUUCAUGAGAGGCAAGGAGUUUAGUGACUCUAUACAUAAUACCUUUGACCAUAUGUGGAGAACCAAGGAACAUAAGGAAGCUGGUUGGUUGCUCCUAAGUUCAGAGGACAAAGUGAUGAAAGAAAAUGAUGAAUUCAGGGAUUCUGUCUCCCGGGUUCAGAAGCAGAUACUGAGCCUCAAAUCUGCUAAGAUUGCCCUGAGUAAGAGUCUUAUCUCUUGUAGAGAAAGAGCUGAAAUUGUGGAAAAACAGAUAUAAACUCUUAUCUUGCAAGUGGCUGACCAGCAAUGAAAGACGCAUGUACAGCCUCACCAGGUGUCUCCUGUUAAAGUGAGGGCAUUGAUUGGAAAAGAAUGGGAUCCUGCAACUUGGAAUGGGGACAUGUGGGAGGACCCUGAUGAAGCUGGGGACACUGAGUUUGUAAACUCUGAUGAAACUUUUUUGCCAGAAGAAAUAGCUUCCCCAUCCCCAGUAGUGGCAACAUCCCCUCCCCAACUCAUGCUGCCAUCAGCCUUUCCACCUUUGUCUGAGGAGAUAAACCCUGUACAGCCUGCAGCAACAGUGAUGGCCUCCCCUGAGGCAGUUUCCAGGCAAGAUAAUGUUGAUUCUCCUCGGGAGCCACCCCCAACAUCCCUGUUUGCUUCCAGACCUAUAACUAGACUAAAGUCCUGGCAGGCCCCUAGAGGUGAGAUUUAGAGUGUGACCCAUGAGGAGGUAUGCUACACUCAAAAAGAACUGCUUGGUUUUCUAAUUUAUACAAACAGAAAUCUGGAGAACAGGCAUGGGGAUGGGUAUUAAGGGUGUGGGAUAAUAGUGGGAAGAACACAGAGUUGGAUCAGGCUGAAUUUGCUGAUUUGGGCCCACUAAGUAGGGACUCGGUGUAUUAGUCUGUUUUCAUGCUGCUGAUAAAGACAUACACAAAACUGGGAACAAAAAGAGGUCUAAUUGAACUUACAGUUCCACAUGGCUAGGAAAGCCUCAGAAUCAUAGUGGGCAGUAGAAGGCAUUUCUUACGUGGCAGCAGCAAAAGAAAAAUGAGGAAGAAGCAAAAGCAGAAACCUCUGAUAAACCCAUCAGAUUUCAUGAGACUUAUUCACUAACAUGAGAAUAGCACAGGAAAGACUGGCCCCCAUGAUUCAAUUACCUCCUACUGGGUCCCUCCCACAACACAUGGGAAUUUUGGGAGAUAAACCUCAAGUUGAGAUUUGGGUAGGGGCACAGCCAAACCAUAUCACUCCACCCCGAUCCCUCCCAAAUCUCAUGUCCUCACAUUCCAAAACCAUCCAUGCCUUCCCAACAGUCCCCCAAAGUCUUAACUCAUUUCAGCAUUAACUCAAAAGUCCACAGUCCAACAUCUCAUCUGAGACAAAACAAGUCCCUUCCACCUAUGAGCCUGUGAAAUCAAAAGCAAGCUAGUUACUUCCUAGAUACAAUGGGGGUACAGGUAUUGGGUAAAUACAGCCAUUCCAAAUGGGAAAAAUUGGCCAAAACAAAGGGGCUACAGGGCCCAUGCAAGUCCAAAAUCCAGUGGGGCAGUCAAAUUUUAAAGCUCCAAAAUGAUCUCCUUUGACUCCAGGCCUCACAUCCAGGUCACGCUGAUGCAAGAGGUGGGAUCCCAUGGUCUUGGGCAGCUCCGCCCCUGUGGCUUUGCAGGGUACAGUCUCCCUCCUGGCUGCUUUCAUGGGCAGGCAUUGAGUGUCUGCGGCUUUUCCAGAUGCACAGGGCAGUGAAUCUACCAUUCUGGGGUCUGGAGGACGGUGGCCCUCUUCUCAUAGCUCCACUAGGCAGUGCACCAGUAGGGACUCUGUGUGGGGACUCCAACUCCACAUUUCCCUUCCACACUGCCCUAGCAGAGGUUCUCCAUGAGGGCUCCACCCCUGCAGCAAACUUUUGCCUGGGCAUCCACAUGUUUCUAUACAUCUUCUAGAAUCUAGGUGGAGGUUCCCAAACCUCAAUUCUUGACUUUUGUGCACCUGCAGGCUCAACACUGCCAAGGAACAUAAUGGAAGCUGCCAAGGCUUAGGGCUUCCAUCCUCUGAACCCACAGCCUGGGCUGUACGUUGGCUCCUUUCAACAACUACUGGAGCAGCUGGGACACAGGACACCAAGUCCCUAGGUUGCACACAGCAUGGGGACCCUGGACCCAUCCACAAAACCACUUUUUUAUCCUGGGCCUCCACACCUGUGAUGGGAGGGGCUGCCAUGAAGUUCUCUGAUAUGGCCUGGAGACAUUUUCCCCAUGGUCUUGGGAAUUAACAUUAGGCUCCUUGCUGCUUAUGCAAAUUUCUGCAGCGAGCUUGAAUUUCUCCCCCAGAAAAUGGAUUUUUCUUUUCUAUCACAUAGUCAGGCUGCAAAUUUUCCAAACUUUUAUGCUCUGCUUCCCUUAUAAAACUGAAUGCCUUUAACAACACCCAAGUCACCUCUUGAAUGCUUUGCUGCUUAGAAAUUUCUUCCACCAGGUACCCUAAAUCAUCUCUCUCAAGUUCAAAGUUCCACAAAUCUCUAGGACAGGGGCAAAAUGCCACCAGUCUCUUUGCUAAAACAUAACAAGAGUCACCUUUGCUCCAGUUCCCAACAAGUUCCUCAUCUCCAUAUGAGACCACCUCAGCCUGGAUUUUAUUGUCCAUAUCGCUAACAUCAUUUUAGGCAAAGCCAUUCAACAAGUCUCUAGGAAGUUCCAGAGUUUCCCACAUUUUCCUGUCUUCUUCUGAGCCCUCCAAACUGUUCCAAUCUCUGCCUAUUACCCAGUUCCAAAGUCGCUUCCACAUUUUUGGGUAUCAUUUCAGCAACACCCUGCUUCUGGUACCAAUUUACUGUAUUAGUCUGUUUUCACUCUGCUGGUAAAGACAUACAUGAAACUGGGAACAAAAAGAGGUUUAAUUGAACUUACAGUUCCACAUGGCUGGGGAGGCCUCAGAAUCAUGGCAGAAGGUGGAAGGCACUUCUUACAUGGCAGCAGCAAGAGAAAAAUGAGGAAGAAGCAAAAGCGGAAACCCCUGAUAAACCCAUCAGAUCUUGUGAGACUUAUUCACUAUCAUGAGAAUAGCAUGGGAAAGACCAGGCCCCAUGAUUCAAUUACCUCCCACCGGGUCCCUCCCACAACACAUGGGAAUUCUUAGAGAUAAAAUUCAAGUUGAGAUUAGCGUGGGGGCACAGCCAAACCAUAUCACUCUGCAUUUAAUGUUGCAGCUUGGGGAGUUAAAAAAGGUUCUAAUAGUUUAUUUGCUUGGUUAGCUGAAAUAUGGAUUAAAAGAUGGCCCACUGUGAGUGAGCUAGAAAUGCCUGAUCUCCCUUGGUUUAAUGUAGAGGAAGGGAUCCAAAGGCUUAGGGAGGUUGAGAUGAUGGACUGGAUUAGUCACGUUAGACCUAAUCAUCCCAGCUAUGAGGGUCCAGAAGAUAUACACUUGACUGAUGCCUUGCAAAAUAGAUUUGUGAGGCCAGCACCUGCACCUUUGAAGAGCCCUUUAAUUGCUCUUUUCUGUAUGUCAGAUCUAACAGUGGGAAACACAGUCACUCAACUACAAAAUUUAAAUACAGUGGGAAUAAUUGGAUCCCAAGGUGGCAGGGGCCAAGUGGCGGCACUCAACCGUCAAAGGCAAGGUGGGCAUAGCUACUGUAAUGGACAGAAGCAGCAAAGCAGCAAUCACAAUAGUCUGAAUCAUGUAGAGCUCUGGUAUUGGCUAAUUAAUCAUGGUGUUUUUAGAGGUGAAAUUGAUAGAAAGCCUACUGAAUUCCUACUUUAUGUAAGCAGAAAACUUCUUGAUCAAAUUGACAAAAGACUAAUUUGAAUUAUAAAAACAGAGAAUCAUGGCCCCUCAAUCAAUUCCCAGAUUUGAGCCAGUUUACAGACCCAGAACCCCCUGAAUGAAGGGGAGGCCAGGUCCCCUUGAGGAAGGACCCCACUACAUUGCCAACAAUUUAUGCUGUGAAUCUUUCUCCCAUCCUUCCCCAGGGAGACCUCUGGCCUUUUACCAUUGCAUUGGGGAAAGGGAAAUUAUCAGACAUUUCAGGGACUACUGGACAUUGGCUCUUAGCUGAUGUUGAUUCCAGGGAACCCAAAAUAUCACUGUGGUCCUCCAGUUAAAGUAAAGGCUUAUGGAGGUCAGGUAAUUAAUGGAGUUUUAGCUCAGGUCUGACUUACAGUGGGUUCAGUGGGUUCCCAGGCUUAUCCUGUGGUCAUUUUUCCAGUGCCAGUAUGCAUAAUUGGCAAACUAAGACAUACUUAGCAGCUGGCAGAACCCCAACAUUGGCUCCAGUUCUGAAUCUUGAACUCAGUGGUGGUUACACAAAUCUGCACGUGAUAAAAUGGCAUAGAACAACACACAGUACCAAAGCCAACCUCCUGCUUUCAAUUUCGAUUAACAAUAGCUAAUUAACCCAGCAUGCCCCAAUGGGGCCACGGGGGGGGGGGGGGGGGGUGAAAGGUAUAUGGACCUCUCUCUGUCACCUGUGCAACUUCCUGUCAAUCUAUAUUCAAAACAAAAAGAUUUUUUAAAGGGACAAGAAUAAUUCCCCAAAACAAACAGUGAAACAGUGCCAAUUACAGAUGUAAUAGUUUUGCUCAUGAGUACAAAUUGUUUUGUACAUGAAAUAUUUUACUGAAUUUGAAAUUUUGAAAUUGAAAUGUAUAAUUGUUUUAUUUAUUUUUAUUUAUUUAUUUUUUUGAGACACAAUCUUGCUCUGUCACCCAGGCUGGAGUGCAGUGGUGGUGAUCUCGGCUCACUGCAACCUCCGCCUCCCAGGUUCAAACGAUUCUCCUGCCUCAGCCUCCCGAGUAGCUGGAAUUACAAGUGCCCAUCACCAUGCCUGGCUAAUUUUUAUAUUUUUAAUAGAGACGGUGUUUUGCCAUGUUGGUCAGGCUGGUCUUGAACUCCAGACCUCAGGUGAUCUGCCUGCCUUGGCCUCCCAAAGUGCUGGGAUUACAGGCAUGAGCCACUGAGCUCAGCCAUUUCUUUUAAAACUCUGCUGCUUGUUUAAUUUUUAUUUGUUACUAGACCAUAACAGACCAAUAUAUGGGUUGAAGGCUUUCCCCCUUUAGAGAGUACAUGAUUGUACAUUGAAAGGACUAAUCCAUUAGGCUUUUUUCUAUUCCUUCUCUAAUAGUAUUAUUUAUUUAAUUAUUUUACUGGCAUGAAGUUCAGUAAAAGUUUACCAUUCCAGUUCCUUGCUUGCCAUUAUUAUGAUUAUGAUUGUUACUCAUGUCAUUUCAUAAUUAUUAUUAAAAAAUUUUGCAGUGCACUGAAGGGAGGAUGGGAUAGAGGUCCACGUGGACUGUCAGAUCUGCCAGAUGCUACUGUGGGUGCAAUUGUCCGUGUUAACCAGAAUGAUCUUCCCUGGCACCAGGGUCUGACCCUGGCUCUGCCCAGUGCCCCGCCCCUGCGCCUCUGGACCUGAGUGGUAAAAAUGCAGAGGCCCACACGAUCUUGAGUCAUGAGGAAAAACUCACUCUGCAUUUGGUUCUUAGAAGGAAACACAUGUUGGAAAGCUUUAUCCCCCCAAAAAGAAAACUCAACAGUCUUCAUGCCGACAGGGGUAACUUUAGAUGAUUUGGGACACAAAACCCAUGGAUGCCUGGGGAGAAGCCACGUGGGCCAGAAACCAUCAGGCCUGGGCCAGUGGGAGCCCCAGGAGCAGCCCUGGGUGCAAAAGCUGGUGCUCAGCGCACAGUGUUCCCUUGGUGGGCUCAGGCUCCUUGUGUGUGAAUGGUGCCUGGCGAUGCCUGCCUCCACUGCCACGAUGAGCUCAGUCCCCAUGGCCCUGUGUCAUCAUUGCCACAGAUACACAUUACUGGUCUCCUCCCACACAAGGAAAAUUCAGGGCCACACAAGCCCUAGAGCCCCGAAUGCCACUUUGCAGCUUUGUGGCAUUAGCAAAGCUGCUUCACGGCGGAACCUCGGUUUCCCUGUCUGUGACAGGAAGGCUGGAUUCAAGAGUUCUCAAGGCCCCUGCCAGCCCUGGCAUUAUUGGGUGAGUCACCAGCAGCACCAGCCACAUUCCCUGUAAGCUCUGGGUGCUCUGACAGCCCUGGGAAGGCACCAGUAGAGAUCCCCUGGCUUCCUUUUAACUGGGAAUCUUAUCAUCCUAGGAUCGAUGUCCUCUAGCAAAGACCUUACUCCAGGCCCAGAAUCACUGCUUUGUUCCUCAGCCUGUUAUCAUAUUUCCUGGGCAGUGUCUUUCCCCUCCUGUGUCUGAUCCUACAUCCCCUGCCUAGUCAGCAGUUUAUUUCUAAUGGCUAGAGUAUUGCUACGUGCUUUAACAAACCCGAUAGCAGUUUAUGUUUCAUUUAUGUGCUUGUCUGAUAUGGAUGCUGCUGAUCUGUGCAGGGUUUUCACCAUGCAGUGACUUAGGAAUUCAGGCUGGUUCCAUCUUGCAGUAAGUACCUCCAUCCUCUGGGCCCUCAGAGUCCUCUAUGUCUAGGAGGUAGGAGGCUGUGAUGAGCUGAAUAGUAUUCCCCCAAAAUUCAUGACAAAGCCCUAAGUCCAAGCACCUCAGAAUGAGACUAUAUUUGGAGAUAGGGCCUUUACAGGGUUGAAUAGGAUAAUAUGAGGCCUUUAGGGCAGGCCCCAGUGCAAAAUGGCCAGUGUCCUUAUCAGAAGAGGAGAUGAGGACACUUGCACAGAGGGAUGACCAUGUGAGGACACAGGGAGAAGAUACCAUCUGCAAGUCAAUGAGAGAGGCCAUAGGAGAAACCAACCCUGCCAACACUUCGACCUUAGGCUCUGUCCCCCAGAACUGUGAGACAAUAAAUGUCUGUUGUUUAAGCUCCCCACCACUGCCAAUCUGUGAUACUUGUUAUGGUGGCCCUAGGAAACUGGUACAGAGGGGAGAGAAAGGAUGGAAAGAGCACCUCACUGCAAAAGCAAGAUGCAUUACUUCUCCCAUUCCAUUAUCCAUUUGUAGCCAUGCAGCCAAACGUGGAUGUGAAGGGGCUGGGCAGCUGCCGCCCAGCAACCACCUCCUGCUGGGGCAGGGGAAGCCCAGUGCUGGUGGACAGCUGGCCGUCCCUACCACUGGACUUCAUUCCAGGCUGAGGGGAUCUCAGGUGUAACCUGCACCAGGUGAGUCAGGGGAAGACAGGAGCUGAGAAUGUUCCCAUCAUUUCCUGUCUGCUUCUCCAUGCAAAUCGAGCUGCUCUGACUCACUUGUUCCAGUUGUAGAGAGGUGAGAACCAUCAGAAAAAGCUAGAAUAGGUGACAUUCUCCAAGGAACCCAGCCCCGUUUCUUCUACAAGUCAGUGGCAUGAAAAAGGUGUGCCCUGUUUUAGACUGAAAGGCCAUAGAGAAAUAAUAGCUAAACACAAUGCAUGGUCCCUAACUGGAGACUGGCUUUAACAAAUGCAACGAGGGAAGCUGAGCUUGAAUCACUACACUGGAUCUCCUUCUUCUCCACCAGGCCCACUCUCCUCCUUCCUUCUGCUCUGCGCCCUGGAGCUGACCUCUAUAAAAUACAUCAUCAGGCUCCCAGCUGAACAAAUUGUAUUUUUCCAAAUAUUCAUUUCUCCUCACACUCAGAAUUUACAACCCUACCUAUUGCCAUGAGAAAGGGUCUUACCUCUGGUCCUGCUGACAGCUGGCUGGGUUGUGUGUGUUGCUUUGGCCAGUGGGAUAUGAGUGUAAUUGAUGGGCACCACUUCCUAACAGAAGCUUUAAGACCCGAGGUGUGGGUCUUGGUGUGUCCCAGACAAGAGGACUGCCCAAUCCACAGUCAACAUGGAAGCAGGGAAAGAAUGAACAGAUGCUGCUGGAAGCCACUGAGAUGUUGGCACCAUUGUUCAACCUUAGUUAGCAGAAGCCUUGUUUCCAGUGGGUUGGCUGAUGGGUGCACCUGGAGGAGGGCAGCCCCUGGGAGACGGAGAGGAUGGGGGUUUAUUUCUCUUGCACUCGCAGGUGCUCAGGUGGAUUUUGUGCCUCCACCAAAAGCCACUGCUCCAGGCAGGCGGCUGGCAGGCUCCAUCCAGCUGCUUCUCUGAAUUCCAGCCAACUUUUUCUCUUGCCCUGCAAGCCCAUAGCUGGUGACAACUAUUUCCCUAAUUGUCCAUCCUUGUCAAUUGUCCUUUACUCUUCUCUCCCUGAUGGCCUGGCUCCAGCACACCACCUGCUUCCUGCCAGGCCUUAACCAAAAGAACCAGGUAGGAGUGCUCUUCAGGUUUUACUGCUAAUUUUUUAAGCUGUGAUAAUCGGGGUUAUGUUUAAAAGUGAAGGGUUUCAAUGUCCAUAAUUAAUUUAAGAUGGCUCUGCAAAACAGAAAAAGAGAAAAAGCAAACUAUUAACAAUUAUUAAACCUAGGUAGAGAUGACUGUUCAUGGUACUAUUCUUUUCACUUUUCUCUGUUUGAAAAUUUGCAUAAUAAAAGGCAAAAAGAAAAAUUGUGGGUGGCAGGGGUCCCAGUCCUACCAUCGAGCAAGCUGAAGUUCCUAGCUGUCAUGCUCCUUCCUUCCCUCCUCUGAACUUUUGUCCAGACUAUUCCCUGGGCCAGGGCAAUGCCCAUCCUGCAUGCCUUCGCCUGGAAAAUUCCUCCUCAUCCUUCUAGUAUGUACUCACCUUAAGCUGCUCCCAUGCUCCCUGCCCCAACCCAGACAGGGGGAACCCCAUGCCCCAGAGCAUUCAGCUCUAUCCCAGAGCUUCUCUGCCCCACAUGUGCCAAACAGUGCAUGAUGCAAGCCUGAGCAAUGUUGCUUUAAGUCUUCUCCAGGUCCUGAUAUUUACAACAUUGUUCCUGACAGCACCCUCCCAGCUCACCCUCUCCUGGUCCUGAGCCCAUUGUCACCACCUCUCUUCCUUACUCUGCCCUGAGGGACAUGCUUCAUUGGGAAGCCAUUCAUUCAUUCGUGCUCUCAUGAGCUCAUCUGCAGUCACCAGGACACACAAGUGAGACAGGGUGGUGCUGCUUCCCUGGGGUACUGUCAGCUGAAAAGACACAAAUCAACCAGCCACACAGAUGAUCACCCGGCUUUGGCCACAGUGAGUUUCACCAAGGGAUAUCACUUUGUGCAGCAGUGAGGCCAUCUCAGGCUAGGAGAAGGCCUUCUCGUAAGAACCCUUAGGAUGCUGGCUGGAUAUAUGGAUUCCCAAAUCUUCCACUCAGAACAUCCAGUGGGGGACCCAGGGAGUCUGCAUUUUCCACAAGUAGCUAGAGUGACAUUUAUAGUCAGCCAAGUCUGGAAAGCACUGGCCUCCAGGAAUAAGGAGGAAUAUUUCAUUCGUGCAGCACUAGGGCAAGGGCUCAAGUGGACCCCAGGCCCUCCCCACUGUGCACACAGAUAACAGCACUCUGGAGGCCAUCUGGUGAUGGUACGGAGGGCAAGUGGGUGCAGCAGGUACAAGGGCUCCCCCAAUGCCAGGCCCAAUGCAAAGUGGUGUGACAGUCAGUGGAACUCAGCCCCAUUAGGUGCAGUCCCUUGGCCGAGGCCCCCAGCUCAUUGGCAUCAGAUCUAGAACAAGGGGUGACCACUGACCAAGUGCUUCCUCGGGAUCCCCAGUGACCUGCAGGCUGCUCCUCCUGUUAAGCCCCCUUACAACCCAUGUGGCUGUCACCUCAAACUCCCUCCUGGCCCCCAUACUCACUCUGCUGUCCCAGUCCACCCUUCCCUGAACUCCUGCAGCCUCCACAACAGCCCACUUACUCUCGUCUCCACUCUGCUCCACAUCCCAUUUCCCUAAAUCCUGGUCUGCAUCCUGUUGCUCCAAGUUUAAAAGCCUCUUCUAGCUUCCAAGAGCAUUCUCUCCUACUGGCCACAGGCCUAGCUGCCUCCCCUGCGGCACCCCUCCUCUUGUCCCCAAGCUCCGGCCAUGCAGGCCCCUUCUUGCCCUCUAGUCAGCAGCUCUUUCCCUCCCUGAGAAUGUGCAUCUGCUCUCCCCUCCUGCCUGCAUUUCUCCCUUGGCAGGGCCUCCCUAUCUCAGCUGGAGUGUGAGUUCCUCAGGGCAGGCUUUCUAGACCCCAGUCCAAAGGGCAGGUUUUCUGUCCCAUGUAUAUUCCUUCACAGCAUGCACCACAGUCUGCAUGUGCACGUUUCCUUGAGCGUUACUCAUUUAAUGUGCAUCCUCCCAUUUGACCAAAACCUCAUGGAGGCAGGGACUGCACUUGGCUGGCUGUGGGGUCUGGCACAGGAGGUGCCCCAAGGGACUGUGAACGUAGAUGAGUGAUGUGAGAUUUAGGGAGGGGAGACCUAUUAUCAAGGCUCUGUGGUGCUUGAUAUGGGCUGAAUCGUAAUCUGCUCUGAAGAUAGGCUGAUGUCUUAAUUCCUAGUAGCUGUGAAUAUGACCUUAUUUGGAAAUAGGGUCUUACAGAUGUAAUCAAGUUAAGAUGAGGACAUUCGGGUGGGCUCUAAUCCAAUAUGAAUGGUAUCCUUAUCAGAAAGAAAAGUGCCACAUAAGGAGAGACACACGGGGGGAACGCCAUGUGACAAUGGAGUUAUGAAGCUGCAAGCCAGGUCAUGCCCAGGAGUGCCAGCAGCCACCAGGAGCUAAGGAGAAAGAGUGGGAUCCAUCCUGCCCUGGACCCUGCAGAAGGGGCACAGCCCUGCUGGUGCUUUCAUUUCAGACUUCUGGCCUCCAGAGUUGUAAAAGAAUAAACUCACUCUGUGGUUCUAA